rnacentral:rRNA from 1 species
CGUACACUCCUACGGGAGGCAGCAGUAGGGAAUCUUCCACAAUGGGUGCAAACCUGAUGGAGCAAUGCCGCGUGAGUGAAGAAGGUCUUCGGAUCGUAAAGCUCUGUUGUUAGAGAAGAACACGUGCUAGGUAACUACUAGCGCCUUGACGGUAUCUAACCAGAAAGUCACGGCUAACUACGUGCCAGCAGCCGCGGUAAUACGUAGGUGACAAGCGUUGUCCGGAUUUAUUGGGCGUAAAGGGAGCGCAGGCGGUCUGUUUAGUCUAAUGUGAAAGCCCACGGCUUAACCGUGGAACGGCAUUGGAAACUGACAGACUUGAAUGUAGAAGAGGAAAAUGGAAUUCCAAGUGUAGCGGUGGAAUGCGUAGAUAUUUGGAGGAACACCAGUGGCGAAGGCGAUUUUCUGGUCUAACAUUGACGCUGAGGCUCGAAAGCGUGGGGAGCGAACAGGAUUAGAUACCCUUGUAGUCCCAU